CAGUCGCCACGGGAAUACGAAGGGGGCUAGCGUUGUUCGGAAUUACUGGGCGUAAAGCGCACGUAGGCGGAUUGUUAAGUUAGGGGCGAAAUCCCAGGGCUCAACCCUGGAACUGCCUUUAAUACUGGCAAUCUAGAGUCCGAGAGAGGUGAGUGGAAUUCCGAGUGUAGAGGUGAAAUUCGUAGAUAUUCGGAGGAACACCAGUGGCGAAGGCGGCUCACUGGCUCGGUACUGACGCUGAGGUGCGAAAGUGUGAGGAGCAAACAGGAUUAGAUACCCCCGUAGUCCCUGUCUCUUAUAA
rnacentral:rRNA from 1 species